rnacentral:tRNA from 2 species
GCCCCUAUAGCUCAGGAGGAUAGAGCACCGGUUUCCUAAACCGGAGGCACAGGUUCGAGUCCUGUUAGGGGUACCA